CCCUAUGGGGUGCAGCAGGCGAGAAAACUUUGCAAUGUGCGAAAGCACGACAAGGUUAAUCCGAGUGGUUUCUGCUAAAGGAACCUUUUGUCAGUCCUAGAAACACUGAUGAAUAAAGGGUGGGCAAGUUCUGGUGUCAGCCGCCGCGGUAAAACCAGCACCUCAAGUGGUCAGGAUGAUUAUUGGGCCUAAAGCAUCCGUAGCCUGCUUUGUUAGUUUUCGGUUAAAUCCAUACGCUCAACGUAUGGGCUGCCGGGAAUACUGCAAAGCUAGGGAGUGGGAGAGGUAGACGGUACUCGGUAGGAAGGGGUAAAAUCCUUUGAUCUAUUGAUGACCACCUGUGGCGAAGGCGGUCUACCAGAACACGUUCGACGGUGAGGGAUGAAAGCUGGGGGAGCAAACCGGAUUAGAUACCCGGGUAGUCCCAGCUGUAAACGAUGCAGACUCGGUGAUGCCCUGGCUUGUGGCCAGUGCAGUGCCGCAGGGAAGCCGUUAAGUUUGCCGCCUGGGAAGUACGUACGCAAGUAUGAAACUUAAAGGAAUUGGCGGGGGGAGCACCACAAGGGGUGAAGCCUGCGGUUCAAUUGGAGUCAACGCCAGAAAUCUUACCCGAAGAGACAGCAGAAUGAAAGGUCAAGCUGGAGACUUUACCAGACAAGCUGAGAAGUAGUGCAUGGCCAA
rnacentral:rRNA from 1 species